CGAAUCCUGCGAUGCGCGUCACGGCGCCUGAUGUUUUGAACCAACGUCUGUUUCGAAGGGAGUCCUACAUUGCCCGGCGGCUGGCACGCCCCCGAAAGGGGAAGCCAAAAACCGGGUUGCGGACACCCACCUGCGGAGAGCGGGUUCAGAAACAGUCUCGCCGGACGGCAAAGCGGGUUUUCU
rnacentral:other from 1 species